rnacentral:rRNA from 1 species
AUUGAACGCUGGCGGCAGGCUUAACACAUGCAAGUCGAGCGGAGAUGAGGUGCUUGCACCUUAUCUUAGCGGCGGACGGGUGAGUAAUGCUUAGGAAUCUGCUUAUUAGUGGGGGACAACAUUCCGAAAGGAAUGCUAAUACCGCAUACGUCCUACGGGAGAAAGCAGGGGAUCUUCGGACCUUGCGCUAAUAGAUGAGCCUAAGUCGGAUUAGCUAGUUGGUGGGGUAAAGGCCUACCAAGGCGACGAUUUGUAGCGGGUCUGAGAGGAUGAUCCGCAACACUGGGACUGAGACACGGCCCAGACUCCUACGGGAGGCAGCAGUGGGGAAUAUUGGACAAUGGGGGGAACCCUGAUCCAGCCAUGCCGCGUGUGUGAAGAAGGCCUUAUGGUUGUAAAGCACUUUAAGCGAGGAGGAGGCUACUGAGACUAAUACUCUUGGAUAGUGGACGUUACUCGCAGAAUAAGCACCGGCUAACUCUGUGCCAGCCGCCGCAGUAACAC